AUUAGCUAGUUGGCGAGGUAAUGGCUCACCAAGGCUACGAUCGGUAGCUGGUCUGAGAGGAUGAUCAGCCACACUGGAACUGAAACACGGUCCAGACUCCUACGGGAGGCAGCAGUGAGGAAUAUUGCGCAAUGGGGGAAACCCUGACGCAGCAACGCCGCGUGGGUGAAGAAGGCCUUCGGGUCGUAAACGGCUAACUCCGUGCCAGCAGCCGCGGUAAUACGGAGGGUGCGAGCGUUGUUCGGAAUUACUGGGCGUAAAGCGCGUGUAGGCGGCCUUGCAAGUCAGGCGUGAAAGCCCUCGGCUUAACCGGGGAAGUGCGUCUGAAACUGCUUGGCUUGAGUACGGGAGAGGGAGGCGGAAUUCCCAGUGUAGAGGUGAAAUUCGUAGAUAUUGGGAGGAACACCGGUGGCGAAAGCGGCCUCCUGGACCGAUACUGACGCUGAGACGCGAAAGCGUGGGGAGCAAACAGGAUUAGAUACCCUGGUAGUCCACGCGGUAAACGAUGGGCACUAGGUGUGGGGGGUAUCCACUCCUCCCGUGCCGAAGCUAACGCAUUAAGUGCCCCGCCUGGGGAGUACGGCCGCAAG
rnacentral:rRNA from 1 species